AGUGACAGAGUGAGGGAGGGGGUGACUAGUGACAGAGUGAGGGAGGGGGUGACUAGUGACAGAGUGAGAGAGAGGGUGACUAGUGACAGAGUGAGGAAGGGGGUGACACAGUGACAGAGUGAGGGAGGAGGUGACUAGUGACAGAGUGAAGGAGGUGGUGACCGUCACUAGUCACCCCCUCCCUCACUCUGUCACUAGUCACCCCCUCCCUCACUGUCACUAGUCACCCCCUCCCUCUCUCUGUCACUAGUGACACCCUCCCUCACUCUGUCACUAGUGACACCCUCCCUCACUCUGUCACUAGUGACACCCUCCCUCACUCUGUCAC